AUAAGCAGAAGAAAAAUGGUGGCAGUGAGCAGGGCAUAGCUCAGAUUUAUCUUUGAGGAAAGCAACUAAAGUAGCUACAUCUGUUAGCCGGGAGAGGGCCUGGGUUUAUUGCAUGGGUAGUGUGGAAAGCCUAUAUAGUUUAGUUUUAUCCUUAGUGGUUAUUUUACUUGCCAUGUCUACCAACGUUGAUGUUGGAGGUGAAAAGCUUGCCUCUGUAGAUUUCGAGAUAUUCGGGAACGUCCAGGGUGUUUGCUUCAGAAUGUACACAGAAGACCAGGGGAAGAAGCUGGGUGUUAAUGGCUGGGUGAAAAACACAAGAGAAGGAACCGUGGUUGGCCAGUUACAGGGGCCCCAUGACCAGGUCAAGGAAAUGAAGGUGUGGCUGAGUAAGGUGGGGAGUCCCAGCUCACGCAUUGACCACGCCGAGUUCUCUAACGAGAGGGACAUCCCCAAACUGGAAAUCCAUGGCUUUGGCACUCGCUACUGACUGCCAGAGCAGCGACAAAGCACCGCAGCAGCAAGUAUCCACCCUGAGGCCUGCCCCAAAGGAAUUAGUAGCUUCUCAACUUCUAAGGGCAUUCAACAAGGUGUCGGAAACAUUCCACAGGGAUGUUGGUCCAAGCUGACGCGAUGGCAUUACGCAGUUGCUGCAGAUUGGACAGCAGCACAUUCAUGCUGUGAACAGCCCGUUCCAUCUCAUCCCAAAGAUGCUCCAUUGGGUUGAGGUUUGGGGUCUGCGCAGGCCACUCGAUUAAACUGAACUUUCUGUCGUGUUCCAGCCAAUGUUUUUUCACUCCUCAAUUUUCCAGUGUACGCCAUCGCGUGCCCAUUGGAGCCACUUCUUGUUUUUAGCUGAUACGAGUGGAACCCAGUGUGAUCAUCAGAUGCGAUAGCCCAUCCGUGACAAGGAUCGAUGAGUUCUGCGUUCCGAGAUGCCAUUCUGCACACCACUGUUGUACUGCACCGUUAUGUCUGUUUGUGGCCCGCCUAUUAGCUUGCACGAUUCUUACCAUUAUCCUUUUGACCUCUCUCAUCAAUGACCAGUUUAUUCCCACAGGACUGGCGCUGACUGGAUGUUGUUUGUCGCACCAUUCUCUGUAAACCCUAAACACUGUCAUGCGUGAAAUACCCAUGAGCACGACCGUUUGAGAUACUGGAUCCGGUGCACCUGCCACAUGAUUACACCGCACUCAAAGUCGCUUAGGUCACUCGAACAGUAACUGGAUGCCUGUAUGACUGCUUUUUAUACAGUGCCUUCAGAAAGUAUUCACACCCCUUUACUUUUUCCAAAUGUUGUUGUAUUACAGGCUGUAUUACAUUUGGAUUUUUUGGGUCACUGGCCUACACACAAUCAUCAGUAGCAAUACAAGGAUAUAACAUUUAUAGAAGAGACAGAAAUGCUUAUGGGGGAGGAUUUUCUGUAUAUAUUCAGAGCCAUAUCCCUGUAAUGCUUAGAGAAUAUCUUAUGUCAAGUGUUAUUGAAGUGUUGUGGUUGCAGGUUCACUUGGCCCAUCUAAAGCCUUUUCUUUUGGGGUGUUGCUAUAGGCCACCAAGUGCUAGCAGUCUAUCUAAAUAAUAUGUGUGAAAUGCUUGAUAGUGUAUGUGAUGUAAACAGAGAGGUCUACUUUCUUGGGGACCUGAAUAUAGACUGGUGUUCAUCAAGCUGUCUGCCCACUUUCACCUACCUCAUCCCCAUACUGUUUUUAUUUAGUUACUUUUCUGCUCUUUUGCACACCAAUAUCUCUACCUGUACAUGACCAUCUGAUCAUUUAUCACUCCAGUGUUAAUCUGCAAAAUUGUAAUUAUUCGCCUACCUCCUCAUGCCUUUUGCACACAAUGUAUAUAGGCUCCCGUUUUUUUUCUACUGUGUUAUUGACUUGUUAAUUGUUUACUCCAUGUGUAACUCUGUGUUGUCUGUUCACACUGCUAUGCUUUAUCUUGGCCAGGUCGCAGUUGCAAAUGAGAACUUGUUCUCAACUAGCCUACCUGGUUAAAUAAAGGUGAAAUAAAUAAAAAUAAAUAAAGAGGAAGCUUCUUACUGUAGCCAGUGCCUGUAAUCUGGUUCAGGUUAUUAAUCAACCUACCAGGGUGUUUACAAACACUACACAAACAAGAUCAUCCACAUGUAUCGAUCACAUUUUUACUAAUGCUGUAGAACUUUGCUCUAAAGCUAUAUCCGUACCCAUUGGAUGCAGUGAUCACAAUAUAGUGGCUAUAUCCAGGAAAGCCACAUUUCCAACAGCUGGGCCUAAAAUAGUGUAUAAGAGAUCAUACAAACGAUUUUGCUGUGACUCUUAUGUGGAUGAUGUUAAAAAGAUUUGUUGGUCUGAUGUGAUUGAGGAGCAUCCAGACGCUGCACUUGAUGCAUUUAUGAAAUUGCUUCUUCCGAUUGAUAAACAUGCACCUGUUCAGAAACUGACAGUUAAGGCUCCAUGGGUUGAUGAGGAAUUAAAAAACUGUAUGGUUGAAAGAGAUGGGGCAAAAGGAGUGGCUAAUAAGUCUGGCUGUACAUCUGACUGGCUUACUUUACUGCAAAUUUAGAUAUUUUGUGACUAAACUCAACAAAAAGAAGAAACUUUUAUGAAGCCAAGAUCAAUGAUAUAAAGAAUGAUGGAAAAGAACUUGAACUUUAAAUUAAAUUAUGGGCAGAAAGACAAAUUCAACUCCAUCUUUUAUCGGCUUAUUCGUCACAAAACCAUUUGAUGUUGCCAAUUAUUUUAAGGAUUAUUUCAUUUGCAAACUUAGGCAGGAAAUUCCCACAACAAAAAGUGAGCAAUUAUAUGUAUGUAUAAAAAACAAAUACUGAAAGAAAAGCAGUGCAAGUUUGAAUUUUGUAAAGUUAGUGUGAGAGAGGUGGGAAAAUGAUUGUUAACGAUUAACAAUCAUUAACAAUAAUGACAAACCUCCUGGCAUUGGCAACUUAGAUGGAAAUGGUUGCUGACUCUAUAGCCACUCCUAUCUGUCAUUUUUAAUCUGAGCAUAGAGGAAAGUCUUUGUCCUCAGGCCUGGAGGGAAGCUAAAGUAAUUCCGCUACCCAAGAGUGGUAAAGCGGCCUUUACUGGUUCUAAACAGCAGACCUAUCAGCUUGCUGCCAGCUCUUAGCAAACUGUUGGGAACAAAUGUGUUUGACAAAAUACAAUGCUAUUUCUCUGUAAACAAAUUAACAACAGACUUUCAACAUGCUUAUAGAGAUGGGCACUCAACAUGUACAGCACUGACACAAAUGACAGAUGAUUGGUUGAAGGAAAUUGAUAAUUAAGAACAUUGUGGGAGUUGUACUGUUAGAUUUCAGUGCAGCCUUUGAUAUUAUUGACCAUAACCUGUUGUUGAAAAAACUUAAGUGCUAUGGCUUUUCAACCUCUGCCAUAUCGUGAAUUCAGAGCUAUCUAUCUUUUAGGGUUUUCUUUUAAUGGAAGCAUCUCUAUUGUCAAACAUGUAAAGUGUGGUGUACUGCAGGGAAGCUCUCUAGGUCCUCUACUCUUUUCUAUGUUUACCAAUGACCUGCCACUGGCAUUAAAUAAAGCAUGUGUGUCCAUGUAUGCUGAUGAUUCAACCAUAAAUGCAUCAGCAACCACAGCUAAUGAAGUCACUGAAACCCUUAAAGAGUUGGGUGGCCAUUAAUAAACUGGUCCUGAACAAAUCUAAAACUAAGAGCACUGUAUUUGGUACAAAUCAUUCCUUAAGUGCUAGACCUCAGCUGAAACUGGUAAUGAAUGGUGUGGCUGUUGAACAAGUUGAGAAGACUAAAUUACUUGGCGUUACCUUAGAUUGUAAACUCAUGGUCAAAACAUAUAGAUUCAAUGGUUGGAAAGAUGGGGAGAGGUGUAGCCGUAAUAAAGAGAUGCUCUGCUUUUUUGACACCACACUCCAAAAAGCUAGUUCUGCAGGCUCUAGUUUUGUCUAAUCUUGAUUAUUGUCCAGUUGUGUGGUCCAGUGCUGCAAGAAAAGACCUAGUUAAGCUGCAGGUGGCCCAGAACAGAGCGGCACGUUUUUCCCUUCAUUGUAAUCAGAGGGCUAAUAUUAAUAAUAUGCAUGCCAGUCGAGUUGAGGAGAGAGUUGAGGAGAGACUGACUGCAUCACUUCUUGUUUUUAUAAGAAACAUUGUGUUGAAAAUCCCAAAUUAUUUGCAGUCAACUUACACAAAGCUCUGACACACACACUUAUCCCACCAGACAUGCCACCAGGGUCUUUUCAUAGUCCCCAAAUCCAGAACAAAUUCAAGAAAACGUACAGUAUUAUAUAGAGCCCUUACUGCAUGGAACUUCCUUCUGUCUCAUAUUACUCAAAUAAACAGCAAACCUUAUUUCAAAAAACAGAUAAAGCAACACCUCGCGGCACAACACCUCUCCCCAAUUUGACCUAGUUUGUGUGGAUGCAUUAAUAUGUAGGCUACGUGUACCACUUUAAGAAUGUAUGUAGUUCUAUCCUUAAGCUGUUCUUGUCUAAUGAUCUGUAUUAUGUCAUUAUGUAUUGUGUUUCAUGUUUUGUGUGGACCCCAGGAAGAGUAGCUGCUGCUUUUGCAACAGCUAAUGGGGAUCCUAAUAAAAUACCAAAAUACCAAACAAAUAAUGUCAAAUUAGAAUAAUGUUCAAAAAAAAAUUCAACCCAUUUGUUAUGGCAAGCCUAAAUACAUUUGAAUGACUACCUCCUCUCUAUACCCCACACAUACAAUUAUCUAUAAGCUCCCUCAGUCAAGCAGUGAAUUUCCAAAGCCUCGCAAAGAAGGGCACCUAUUAGUAUAUGUUAAAUGAGAAAACAACUGAGGAUGGAUCAACAACAUUGAAGUGACUCCACAAUACUAACCUAAAUGAGUGAAAAGAAGGAAGCCUGUAAAGAAUAAACCUAUUCCAAAAUAUGCAAUCUGUUGGCAAUGAGGCACUUAAGUAAUACGGCAAAAUACUGUAUGUGGCAAAGAAAAAACUUUUUUUCCUGAAUACAAAGCGUUAUAUUUGGGGCAAAUCCAACACAUCACUGAGUACCAUUCUUCAUAUAAUACCAAGCAUAGUGGUGGCUGUAUCAUGUUAUGUUUAUGCUUGUAAUCGUUAAGGACUGGGGAGUUUUUCAGGAUAAAAAAGAAACAGAAUAGAGUUAAAUACACAGCAAAAUCCUAGAGAAAAACCUGGUUCAGUCUGCUUUCCACCAGACACUGGGAGAUUAAUUCACCUUUCAGCAGGACAAAAACCUAAAACACAAGGCCAACUCUACAUUGGAGUUGUUUACCAAGAAGACUGAAUGUUCCUGAGCGGCCAAGUUACAGUUUUGACUUAAAUCUACUGAUAAUCUAUGGUAAGACCUGUAAAUGUUUGUCUAGCAAUGUUCAACAACCAAUUUGACAAAGCUUGAAGAAUUGUAUAAAGAAUGAUGGGCAAAUGUUGCACAAUCCAGGUGUGGAAAGCUCUUAGAGAGAAUUACCAAGAAAGACCCACAGCUGUAAUCGCCACCAAAAGUGUAGUGAGUACUUAUGUAAAUGAGACAUUUCUGUAUUUCAUUUUCUAUAAAUUUGCAAAAACCUCUAAAAAUAUGUUUUGCCUUUGUCAUUAUUGGGUAUUGUGUGUAGAUGGGUGAGUGUAGAUGUGUAGAUGUUAUUUAAUUCAUUUUGAAUUCAGGCUGUAACACAACAAAAU